CCGGGCGGCGCGUGCGCAGUGCGGAGCGGCUGGUGGCAAUGUCUCCUUGGGCCAGGCUCCUCUCCAGCACCUCCAGGGUCAGCCUGCUGCUGCUGCUGGGCUCUGUGCUCCUCUCCUGCUCCAGCCUGGGACAGAGAGUGCCUGAGUUUGCCCUUACAAAAAUAGAAGAGAGCGACAUAAAAGAUGACAGUGGGAAGGAGCUGGGGAC